rnacentral:rRNA from 1 species
GACGAACCGUGCGAACGUUGUUCGGAAUCACUGGGCUUAAAGGGCGCGUAGGCGGCUUGCCAAGUCAGGGGUGAAAUCUUUCGGCUCAACCGGAAAAGUGCCUUUGAUACUGGCGAGCUCGAGGGAGGUAGGGGUGUGUGGAACUUCCGGUGGAGCGGUGAAAUGCGUUGAUAUCGGAAGGAACGCCGGUGGCGAAAGCGACGCACUGGACCUCUUCUGACGCUGAGGCGCGAAAGCUAGGGGAGCAAACGGG